CCCAAUAUAAUCUCAGAGCCCAAUUCCCCAACACUUACCAAACCGCACUAUUGAGGCUUCUAGGGUUUAGCUAUUCGAUAUAUAUGAUCUCAAAUGAGAGUGUUCUUCCUUCAAUUCUCGCCGCGUGCUCUCUAGAAGAUACCCGAUCCUGAGACUGCAAAAGGAAACGAAUUUCGAACCCUUUUCACCAUGAGAGCUAAGUGGAAGAAGAAGCGUAUGAGGCGUUUGAAGAGGAAGAGAAGAAAGAUGAGACAAAGAUCUAAGUAGCCUAAUGUUGCUUGAUGGGUACUUUCUUUUUUGUUAAAGGAUUUGAGAUUUAUCUUUAUAAUUUUUAUGGUUUAGUUUUGUAUUUUUGUUGAACCCUAUUUUCAUCUACAUGAACAAUGUUUUCUUUUUAGAACUAAA